rnacentral:rRNA from 1 species
CUCCUGUCAUGAGGGAACAAACUUACGCGUUUAACUGAUGCGUGACUGAUAGUACCUCAAGAGGAAGAGACGGCUAACUCUGUGC